rnacentral:lncRNA from 1 species
CGUUUGCAAGAUAAUGCAGUUUGAAAUUUUGCGAGCGGGAGCAUGUAUUUCAGAAUCGACAACAGCUUACCACUUAAAAUGUUUUAGAAAUUGAAGAAGUUAACAUGCUGUAGUUAUAUGUUUGACCAAAUACCAAAAACAUUCCAUUGAAAAAAACACCAAAAAAUCAAUUUGAAAUUUUCAAGUUUUGCAUUGACUUUCUAAG